rnacentral:rRNA from 1 species
AUUGAACGCUGGCGGCAGGCCUAACACAUGCAAGUCGAGCGAGCGGCGGACGGGUGAGUAAUGUAUGGGGAUCUGCCUGAUAGAGGGGGAUAACUACUGGAAACGGUGGCUAAUACCGCAUACCAUCGGAUGUACCCAGAUGGGAUGAGCUAGUUGGUGGGGUAAAGGCUCACCCAGGCGACGAUCCCUAGCUGGUCUGAGAGGAUGAUCAGCCACACUGGGACUGAGACACGGUCCAGACGCCUACGGGAGGCAGCAGUGGGGAAUAUUGCACAAUGGGCGCAAGCCUGAUGCAGCCAUGCCGCGUGUAUGAAGAAGGCCUUCGGGUUGUAAAGUACUUUCAGCGGGGAGGCGUUACCCGCAGAAGAAGCACCGGCUAACUCCGUGCCAGCAGCCGCGGUAAUAC